GACGAACGCUGGCGGCGUGCUUAACACAUGCAAGUCGAACGGAAAGGCCCUGCUUUUGUGGGGUGCUCGAGUGGCGAACGGGUGAGUAACACGUGAGUAACCUGCCCUUGACUUUGGGAUAACUUCAGGAAACUGGGGCUGAUACCGGAUAGGAGCUCCUGCUGCAUGGUGGGGGUUGGAAAGUUUCGGCGGUUGGGGAUGGACUCGCGGCUUAUCAGCUUGUUGGUGGGGUAGUGGCUUACCAAGGCUUUGACGGGUAGCCGGCCUGAGAGGGUGGCCGGCCACAUUGGGACUGAGAGACGGCCCAGCAUCCAACGGGAGGCAGCAGGGGGGAAUAUUGCACAAUGGGCGGAAGCCUGAUGCAGCAACCCCGCGUGCGGGAUGACGGCCUUCGGGUUGUAAACCACUUUCGCCGGUGACGAAGCGGGAGUGACGGUAAUGGGUAAAAAAGCACCGGCUAACUACGUG
rnacentral:rRNA from 1 species